rnacentral:rRNA from 1 species
UAGGGAAUCUUCCACAAUGGACGAAAGUCUGAUGGAGCAACGCCGCGUGAGUGAAGAAGGGUUUCGGCUCGUAAAACUCUGUUGUUAAAGAAGAACAUAUCUGAGAGUAACCGUUCAGGUAUUGACGGUAUUUAACCAGAAAGCCACGGCUAACUACGUGCUAG